UACGUAGGGUGCGAGCGUUAUCCGGAAUUAUUGGGCGUAAAGGGCUCGUAGGCGGUUCGUCGCGUCCGGUGUGAAAGUCCAUCGCUUAACGGUGGAUCCGCGUCGGGUACGGGCGGGCUGGAGUGCGGUAGGGGAGACUGGAAUUCCCGGUGUAACGGUGGAAUGUGUAGAUAUCGGGAAGAACACCAAUGGCGAAGGCAGGUCUCUGGGCCGUUACUGACGCUGAGGAGCGAAAGCGUGGGGAGCGAAC
rnacentral:rRNA from 1 species